rnacentral:rRNA from 1 species
GAUGAACGCUAGCGGCAGGCUUAAUACAUGCAAGUCGAGGGACAGCACAGGUAGCAAUACUGGGUGGUAACCGGCAAACGGGUGCGGAACACGUACACAACCUUCCUUUAAGUGGGGGAUAGCCCAGAGAAAUUUGGAUUAAUACCCCGUAAUAUAGUUGAAUGGCAUCAUUUGAUUAUUAUAGCUACGGCGCUUAAUGAUGGGUGUGCGGCUGAUUAGAUAGUUGGCGGGGUAACGGCCCACCAAGUCUACGAUCAGUAGCUGAUGUGAGAGCAAGAUCAGCCACACGGGCACUAGGACACGGGCCCGACUCCUACGGGAGGCAGCAGUAAGGAAUAUUGGUCAAUGGACGCAAGUCUGAACCAGCCAUGCCGCGUGAAGGAUUAAGGUCCUACGGAUUGUAAACUUCUUUUAUUUGGGACGAAAAAGGGCCUUUCUAGGUCAACUGACGGUACCAGAUGAAUAAGCACCGGCUAACUCCGUGCCAGCCGCCGCGGUAA